CAUCCCCGCUGCGGCCGCGGCUGCGGCUGCCGGGAACCCGCGGCGGCUGGGGUUGGCUAGCCCCGGUCAGCGGCCGGCUGGUCUUGACAGCUCAGGUUCCUUAUUCUAGACACAAUAAUUUUCCUACGGUGUUUAUGUUGUCCUCAUCUUGAAUGCAAAACAGAAUCCAUAAGCUCAGGAUUUAGUAGGUUCUUUAGAAGAAAAAAGACAUUCAUUUGAAUCAUUCUAUCCUUCACUGUUUUCUCAGGUGAUCCUGCUUCUUUUAUGUAACUGCAGUCCUUGGUCUUGACAUGUGGAUCUAUCUCCUCUCUACUUUAACUCCAUGGACCAGAAUGGAAAAAAUUUCUUCACUUCGUGUUCCACUUCUCAAAUACAGCACCUUUAGCUUGUUAGGUGGCUUCCUCCUUGGUGCCGUCUGGCUGGCAUCAUGCCAAUUCUUCCAGGGAAAAAGAAGCAAUUGAUGUUGGUACUCAGCUAUUUGCUUAGAUGAGAGAAGGGAUCUUUUUUUUUUUCCCCCAAAUUGAAGCAUAAUAUUUAAAUUAUUGUCAGGUGUUUAGAUGGUGGCAUUUGUGAGUUCUUUGCCCUUUAUGCUUUACAAGAAUACACAGUAAGAAGUCAAAAUGUCUGCAGGGGCUACUUGUAUCCUGUUGGAACUAGCAUAAAAUUACACAUAUGCAUAAUUACAGCAAGAAAACUUAUAUUUCAAUACAAGAAAGUACACUUCAGUUCUGAAUUGUAAUUAAUUCCAUUACAUAUAUUUCUCAAUCCAGAACAAAGGGCCAACUUUGUAGAUACUCCAGUGACAUGGUAAGUAAAGCAGCUGUGUACAGUACGAUGUCCCUGCAUUUUUUAUGUGUAUGAAGAAAACAUGUUCUUUGAACAAAGAUAUUUCUGCAUGGGUAUAUCCACAUUUAUCAGUGAGAAGAAAGAUUUCUUCCAAGAACAAAGCCUGGCUGCCUUGUCUCUUCCCCUGGUAGCACUUGGUUGCUUCAUACCAUUUUAAGAUGUUUUUCCAUUUUCACAAGAAAGGAGCAGGUUGUACAGAAGCAGACCUCAUAAAUGCAUUCCUGGGUCCGUUGGAAAACAGUUUUCGUUGACUUUUGACUAAACAAAGGACAAAAAGUUUUGAUCUUACCAAGAAUGGGGGCUCUCUUGUGCAUAUAUAUGGCUUGAUGUCACCUUUUUUCCUUGUGGAGUGUUAUGGGACAUUCUGGAGUUGGCUUUUCAUAUUGCUGUGGCUAAGAGUGAACCAAAACAAGGCAUCUGCCAUUGGAUACUCAGAAUACCAGAUCAAACCCAUAGUUGGCUAUGAAUAUAGCAGAAUGGAAAAAGAGUGGGAGUAGGAAAGAAAAAUAUUUUUUUCCCCAUACAACUUCAACCUGAGAGACAAAAAGCAGAAAUACUUUGUGCAGCUCGCUUGGACUGACAUAUUUGCAUGACAUUCUGUAUCUUCAUCCCUUGCAGUGUCAUGGGAACAUUAUCCUUCAAUUCAGGAUGGCUACGAGAGUGAUAUCCAUUGGUGAAACUGAAGCAUCUCACCAGAGAGUGAGCCUCAAUAUAAUGUCCAUCAACCUUGGCUUGAGGCAGGAUGAACUUAGGUCUGGAAGAAAUUUAGCAACUAUAUUCUGUCCCCCGUCCUUCCCGCCCUCCCACCCCCCCAAAAAAUUCCACAGAAUAGUUUCAUAUCUAGAUUAGGCAACAGAUAUGGAAUAGCUUGUUUUCCUCUUACUAAGGGGAAAAAACCCAACACUACCCUUGGGAGCUGAAAUCCUUCCUCGCUCCUAUACCUGAGAUGCACAGCAGAGUUUGGGAUGACGUGUUACUAGUACAGGAGAACAUCUGCCCUCUUUUAUUUGUUAUCUUACAGUACUAGAGAAAUCAACGUAAAACUUGUCAAAUAUUAAGGCCAUAUGUUGUAUCUUUGUGUUUUGGGGAAUAUGCACAUCCAGAGCCCUGGUAUGAUGCUGGAGUAAAGAGCCUGGAUUCAGACUGCUCUGCCCAGAUAGAAUUUUGUUAAAGACAAGAAUUGCCAGAAUGGAAUGUUAUCCUUUGAUGAAUAGUAGGUCUUAGCCGAUGGGAAUUGAAAUCUAAAUCAAAUUGUCUUUUAGGGGGAAAGAAGUUUUAGAUAAAGUAUGAUUUUAAAAGGGUAAUGAGUAAGAUUGGCUAGUAGUAAAGUACACCAUUCUCAACGUCUUGGUGCAAUUUUAAGUUUUAAUAGCUUAAAGCUCCACUAAGACUUCUGGGAUACCCUGUAUAAGUUAGUCAUGUCUUUUGAAAGUUGUAUGUUUAUAGUAGUUAGAAAUCUUUCACUUCAGUUAGGCAGACCUCCCAGUCACUUGUUUAUUUUUUAUUUGUUACUACUGCUCUGUAAAGAUAAAGACCAGUGUUGUUGGGGAAACUCCUUACUAAAGGGGUCACUACAGGUGCCACCAAGAUGUUGAGAAAGAGUUUAAAUCUUGUUUCUCUGCCAUUCCCUUUAAUGUCUUAUUAUUGGUAGCCUUUCUGGCAGGCAGCAGGGCCAUCCUAUUCUCCUUACCUCCUCUGUCAAACUUGCAACAGAUCCAUUCUGGCCCAUUGGUGCUUCAGGCAUCAGAUCUACUUUUUUAGAUCCCUUAGAGUUCUCUGAAUUCAUAGCCAAUAAGUUAACUGUUUAAUGUUUCCCUGAAAUAGACUCCUGCCUUAUUUACAACUGUCACAAAAAUCUCAUUACAACCAAAAUUUGGUCAUGAUCAGUUGUUUCAGCCUUAUACUCUCUUAAGACACCCUCUUUAUUUCUUUUCUGCCUGUCUUUAUGCAGUUUCCUUCCUGGCUGUGGUUUUAGGCAGCACCCUCUAUGGCCUAUUGCUAAACCUUCUCUUCUUCCAGUCCUCCUUGUUGGUCAGAAAUUUUCCUUUUUGAAAAGUUAAAACAAAUAAACAUGGGAUAUGUGCAAUAAUUACAUAUAUAUACAUAUAUAUUUUAAUACUUGUGGACAAAAUAAUGUUACAAGUUGUUUGAGAACAACAAAAUCACCAAUGUCUUCCAUUUUGAUAUUAUGUAUAGUUUCAUAAGCAUUAAUGCUUUGUAGCAAAAUGUAGUGCCAUGUUAGGGGCCAGUGCAUGAGCCUAGUAGUAAUUUUAGAAUUAAAAAUGAAUUCUUUAUAAUAAUAACCAAUAGUAUAACAAAAAAUGGAAAAUAUAAAAAUUUCCUUUUUUCUUAAAAUUCUGAACCUGUAUCUUCUCCCUGGGGAAAAGUGACAGACUAAAAGGGCUAGUUUAGAAAUAGAAUUAUUUUGGGCCUUGAAGAAUAUGUGUGGGGAUGUUUUGAUUUCAUAUAAUGUUGAAGUAUUCUACACCUAAUGUGACAGUGUCCUAUCUGAACCACAAACUAAACUAUGGACAACCACCCCCCACCCACACUCCCUCCAAGGUAGUGCUCCUGCAUUGUGUUUCUUGUGUGGAGUGAAGUUAUUCUUCCUGCGUCCUUGUAUGGUUAUGUCUAAUAGCUUAAUCCUGUUUCAUUUCUGUAUGUAGACAUUCUCUGCAUCAAGGAACCACAGUACAAUUUAAAUAUCUUAAUUGGAUAUUCUCGUCAGCCUCACAUGAAGUGCUCUGUUAACUCAAGGGUAGUCUGUAGACUGUUUUACAUUUCCUGUCUGCAGGUCACUGUCUCUGCGUUGUGUCAAGAAACCCUUGUAAAUGUUAGAGAGAGUCAGAGUAUUUGUUUAAGGCUAUCCCCACUUCUUAAUCAUCUGUGGGGUUUGGUUUGGUUUUUUAAUGUGGUUUUCUUGCUAUCUCUUUUGCUUGAUUUAUAUUUUGAGAAUUGGGUGUCUAGGUAGAUAGAACCUUGAUAGGUUGCUACAUUAGUGAGAAAUAAAAGAAAGCAUUUGCUUUUGUUGGCGGUAUGCAUUUUAAAGCUGUAUCUUUCAGACUUGUACAUGUCCCCUUUUCCCUGCCUUCCCAGAAGAAGUAAACAGUUUUGUCACUCACAGGAUAGUUCAUCUUUCUCUGGUAAAGCAAUUCCUGUCUGUAAAUGGCGUCCUUGAGGAAUUGGACAAGGUGGUUUUUCUGAAGUGAUUUGAGGGUCCAAGACUCAGAUAAUCCAGGUUUUAUAAAACACGGACUCUGCAAAUAGUAAGUAAUGUGAGAGCACACGACGCUGCAUGAGCAAACAGCUUGGAGUAAGUAGGAGGCCCUUCUGUAGCAGUUCUCUAGGGACCAGGUUCAGGUUCUAUUAGUCUAGACUCAAGUAGUUAUACCUUUGAUUCAAGUAGUACAGUGCUUAGGAGAAUCCGCUUCUAAAAAAAAAAAAUACCUCUGAAACAGGAAUGCAAAAUAGCACAGUAUGCAGGGGGAAUGCCCCUGAUGCAACAAAGCCAUAAAAUGAUUUAAUAAUUUUUAAAGGACAAAACUUUAGUAGCAAUAACUGUUUUGCAUGUAGUAGUAACUAACUUGAAUUAGCAAACCUGUAUAGUAAAGUUAAGUUACCACUCAAGUUUGUGGUGCGUGGUGCUCAGUCCUUGACAGAGCUGUAUGAAAGGAAACUGUUUUAGGUAGAUGAUACACAUAAAAGAUGCUCUUUUCCUUCCUUUGAGAAGAGGGGUGUGUGUGUGUGUGUGUGUGUGUGUGUGUGUGUGUGUGUGUGUUUUGGAUAGAGGGAGAGAGACAUUUCGAUAUGUGAGGCUGAAAGCCCCAUUUGUUUUCCCAGGUAGCAGGAGGGAGCUGUUGAAGUGAACUCUUUCUGGGAGGCAGAUUGGAGUCUCACCAAUGCAUUCCAAGUAGAUUUUCUAUUUGAGACUUUACUUUGAGGGCAGCUCCUCCAUAACAGAUUUUUUUUUUCUUUCUCCUCUUGUUUCCUAAAUUCAUUCUUUUUUUAGGAUUAAGAAAAAAGCUUAAACGUAGUGUUUGCAUUUUCUCUAUUCGUGGUUAAGAAAGCUCUUGGUAACACUUCUGAGAAAGACUUUAUGUAUGUGAAUUUCUCUUUUUUUGUUUUUGACCAUAUUUUCAAUGGAGGAGUGGCCGGAGCCAUGGCCUUUGACAGCUUUAUCCUCCAAUAUAGAAAACCAUUCCACCUCCUAAUUGUAGUUGGCACACUGUCCCAGUUUAGGAGCCAAGACAGAGCAGUGGGGACCGAGACAAUUUUUCCGUUAUCUCAUACCACUUGUACAUGUGGAUAAUUCAUUUUGGUCGUCUAGUGCCUGGAAAAUAAGUACAUCUCUGCAUAAACUAGUCGUAAAUUCCCUUGGUUCAUGAUGUUCAAUUAUAUGCCUAUAUGUGAACCCAGGAGAAAAAAUACAAGGUAGAUGGGGCAGAGCCAAGAAAGUCAUGCCUUUGAACAUAAUACACUUAUUUGGUGAUCCUAGAAGAUAAGAAAACUGUGUUUAUAGAAUAACCAACCGUCCCUCAACUCACAAAAGGGAAUGCACUGUAUUAGGUUCCUUUUGGUCUUUCUUCAGUGUGUACCACAGUGUCACCAUUAGACACAUUGGAAUAGCCAAGUAAUUUUGAGAUAUCUGGCUUGGUCACAGGUGUACAUUUAUGCUAUAUAAAGGACUUUGUAGAACAGCCACAUUAAAUAUAGAUCUAAAUGCUAAAAUUGACGUACCCAGUGCAUGGAUGGUAUCCAGAUAAGCUUAUUAUAUGCAAGGUUGUAGGCAUCAUCUUUUUGUGUAGGUUUCACACUGAUGGAUGAGCUCUUAUUAAAUAUGAAGUGUGCACUUACAAUAUGCUAGGCACUAUGCAAAAUAGGGUGGGAUCUUUGCCCUUGAGGAGUUUACGUUCUCUUGGUGCUGCUGGUAAAGGCAAAUGGCCUCUAGUUUGUUUAGAACAUGCUUGGCUGUCAGAAUAAUCUUGGCCCAAAGGAUCACUUGUCACAACAGUUUUUAGAAGGAGGGCAACACCAAAUUUUAAGGCAUUGUAGAUUUAACUAAUUUACAUUGUACUAGCUAUGCUAUUAAUAAAUUUUUCCAGGGUAUGUGUGGGGUGAGAGGGUAAGGAGUGAUGUAUAGGUAAUUUUCUUUAGUGUUAGUAAAAGAAACCACUCGACUCAAUAGGGCCUCCACAACAUACCACCUUUGUCUUUUCAUGGUGUACCCGUCACAAAGUUGGCCAGAAAAAUCCAUAAUAAAUAAGGCUGAAUAUUUCCUUUUCUUAAUAAUGGCUCUUAUUUCUGCUACUAUAUCAUUCCCACCCUUAACAGAAUAGAUUUGCAUACCAGUCUCCCCUGUACCAGUGUGAAAUGAUCCUAAAUUUUACCUUUUUAUUUGCUGGUUUUGUACUUCCAUUCAAAAACAUCAUAGGAAUAGACAUAUGGAGAACUUAAUUAAAAUAGUCAUAUCUUUUUUCUAAAAGUUUCCAGGUUUUCUGUCUUUCAGUUGCAAUAUUUCAGUGAAAAUAAAUUGCAUGUACCCUAGCUAAGCCCCAUAAUCCCUCUGAAUCAAGAGGUUUUGUUUUGCAUGAACUUGGGUCUGAUUAAGAGGCCUUAGGUAAAAAUGCAUGCUGAUCAUAUAAACAAUAAUAGCACAAAGCCCACAAUCCUAGUCCUGUAGAGCUAGAGUCCUAAUUAUGCAUGAUUGAAAAUGUCUAGUGUCAUAUAAUUACUAGAAAACUGAUAUAUGCGUUUAUAUAUAACAAAGCAAUAGUAACUGUUAAAUGAAUAGCUUGAAUUUACUGCUUGAAACCUCAGUUCUUGUUUCUCUUAAAAAGAUGGUUUGCCUCCAUCAAUAAAGGGAGGUUAGAUAAGAAAACAGGGACAGCAGCAUGACACUUGGGCUGUUUGGAAGAGGGAGUAGCAGAACUCACCUUUCUUUUUAACCUCUUACCUGAUUUAUAUUAGUCCCCUAAGCAUGUUUUUUUAAAAUAACAGGGCACGCACUAAGAAGCAUGUUGUGUCAAUGAAUGAUUUCUUAGUUGCCUCAACUGUAGCAAUCAGAAAGGUGCAGAGUUUCAGAAAGAGUAAGGGUAAGUGAGGCCCAACUGUACUAUAGAAAGUAAUAACUGGGUCUGUUAAACACGGCAAAAGUGGCCUGAGUGUAAGCCCAGUAAAACUAGUCCUUUGGAGGUGAAUAAAAUCAAUAAGCACAGUGCACACAUUUCAGGUGUUCAGUAGCUUUUUAAUACAGUAUUUUUAGGUAAUUUUAGCCACUUAGGCAGCUGUACUGAAUUGUACUGGUGUCAACCAGCAAUAAUGGCUCCCUGCAGCAAAGGAGACUUCCACUUUGCAGGAAUUGACCUGAAAAUAUUGUUGUAUCUGUGAUGUUAUUUCUCUUUAGUUAUGUUGAUGCAUUUUUUAAUAUAUGUGACUUGAAAUAGAUUUUUAGAGCCAGAGACACAAAAUUAUUUACCCUUAAUGGUCUGAUCAGUCAGUCCAAUUAAGCUCCGUAAAGUACUCUUGCCCUUCAAGGUGAGUUUAUACAUCUUCAUUUCAUUAAAUAGAUUUUCCACUAACUUCUUUAUGUAGGGAGAAAAAAAUUAGAUGCUCUUCAAUUUUAACACUUCAGAAUGUUGGGAAAUAAAGAUUCUUCUGGGGCUUUUGGUGUAACCCCUAGAAGUAUAUGUGAUAAUAGCAAACAAGACAAGAAUCAUCUACUGAAAGCCAAAGAGGUGACAAUAAACUUAUAAUUCUUCCCACAAAGGUUUUACCUCUUAAAUUAGCAUAACCUCACUUUAGGGCUUACCUUGACAUUGUUGGGAAAACUCCAUCUUCCAAGUUAAAGGAUAAAAGUAACCUUCAAAUGGUUCAGAAUUGAACUGCUCAGUUCAUAUUUAGCAAGUUUAUUCCCAGUACCUAUUGGGAAAAUAAAGCUUUACCAAGCCUCUUUACAGUUUUUCUCUUAGCCACUUAUUGAUAGAAUAUCUGUGAAAUCAAGUUGGAAAAUUAAAUGUUUAUUGAUUUUGGCUUAAGAAUACAGUAACCAUCAACCUUCAUUAACCUACUUCUUUUAUCUUAAAAUUUAUCAAGAAACUCUUAAACUUUUAGAAAUACUCUUUAAAAGCAAAAGCUCAUAAACAGAAGGCCUUUCUUCUAAAUGAGAUCUCCCUGGAAAACAAAGGCUUAUAUGUGCUGCGCCAUUGUUGAGAUGUUGGGUUGUUUUGUUUUUUUCCAGCGGUGGGGAGAAAUAUCCAAAAUAAAUGAAAAGAAACUGGAGCCGUGCAUGGUAAUCUUCCAUCCUAAGUAACUGUACUAUUCCUGAAGCUGCUUUUAAAUUGUUUGACUCUUCUAUGUAAAAUAAAUAAUUUGGCAUUAGAUUAGAAAGGCCCAAUGCUGAAGAGCUCACUUCACAUACUCUUAUGUUGUCUUUAGUGCAGGAAAGAUUGUUUACUUAAUGUAUGCACAUGCAGCACUGUAAUGUAAUCUCUCUACUCCAUUGCAGUUAUUCUAUUUUAUAAGUUAAUAUUGUUAGAAUUUCAUACCUGAAAUUUUGGAAAAGGCAGCUUGCUGUUAUAUCUAUGCAUCUUUAGGGUUUGAAUGAGAGAUUUUAUUCUUUUGAUGGUGUAAAGAGCAACUUUUUAAAAACCUAAGUUGGAAACUCUGCAACUAUGUAUAAAACUUUUGGGGUUUGUUUUUGGUUUUUAGCAAUAAAGCAGCAUGGGCUGAGAACGCACUGAAA